AUUGAACGCUGGCGGAAUGCUUUACACAUGCAAGUCGAACGGUAGAGGGGCAACCCUUGAGAGUGGCGAACGGGUGAGUAAUGUAUCGGAACAUGCCCAGUCGUGGGGGAUAACGUAGCGAAAGUUACGCUAAUACCGCAUACGAUCUAUGGAUGAAAGCGGGGGAUCGCAAGACCUCGCGCGAUUGGAGUGGCCGAUAUCAGAUUAGGUAGUUGGUGGGGUAAAGGCCUACCAAGCCGACGAUCUGUAGCUGGUCGGAGAGGACGACCAGCCACGCUGGGACUGAGACACGGCCCAGACUCGUACGGGAGACUGCAGUGGGCAAUGUUGGACAAUGGGCGGAGGCCAGAUCCAGCCAUUCCGCGUGCAGGAAGAAGGCCUUCGGGUUGUAAACUGCUUUUGUACGGAACGAAACGCGCUGAGUUAAUACCUCGGCGUAAUGACGGUACCGUAAGAAUAAGCACCGGCUAACUACGUGCCAGCCGCCGCCGUAA
rnacentral:rRNA from 1 species